AGAUAAAAAAAAAUAUUAUUAAAUUAUUUUGAAAUGAUAAAAAAAAAAAAAGCCAGGCCUGCGCAUGCGCCUUGCUUUAUUUUUUACAGACAACAGAAUGUUUAUUUGAAAAUAAAGGUGCCAAUGUCGCUGCGACUUGUGUGCUAGCCAUACAUUUUUCUUUUAUGAAUUUGUAGUUUUUUUUUUUUUUACAAGUAGAUAAUUAUUAGUGGUUAGUUGAUAGUAUUAAAAAAAUAAAUAAAAAUCUGGCUUAAUAUCUGUCAUCGCAUGUAAUUGAUAGGAGCACUACAAUAAAUAUGAGGAUCUAAUUAGGACGGUCUCUUACAUGAACAAACUCAAUUUCAAACAAAAAUCGAAAAUUGAACCCUUGAUUGCCACUUCCAAGGAGCCAAAUACCCAUUGACAUGAAUUUGCAGUGAACCCCACAUAUUUGAAUGAAACUUGUGGUGAAAGAAAAUUGUGAUCAUAAGGUGGUGCCGGUGCUUUUAUACCCAAUCCAAACAAGGUGAUAAACACUAACAAUUUAAGCUAAAAUGGUGUUUCGAUCUGAUAUAUGAUCUAACUAACUUGACCGCUUCUUAGUUCUCAUAUAUUAACUUUUGACAGCUAAAACAGAUAGUAGAGAGGACUGAUCACUUGAGCUUUUAAUUCCUUUUCCGCUAACUACUAUGCGCUCUUGCUCCUGAUUGAGGCAAAUAUAAAUGUUAAAAAAGAAAUCUGUUACUUACAGUCUGAAAAUAAGUAAAUAUCCAUGUAGAAUCUGAAGAUAAAAGUUCAAGAGAGAAUUCAUUGUGAGGAACUUUCCCAGCACAAGCACCUCAGGAUUUGGACCACAAAAUGAACCGCAAUGAAUUGGAGAGUGAUUCGUUAAUGCUUGAACAUACAAUUGGAGCUUGUAUAACAGGGCCCUUCGGGGGUUUCUGCUUAACCUUCCUGAUUUGCAUGAUUAAGCAUUUGAGAGCAACAGAGGUCAUUAAUGUGGUGCUGAUGGUCAUAAUUGGCUUAGCAACAAUAUAUUUUUUCCUAGUUGCUUUUAUAUGCUCCUUUCGUCUGUUCGAAGAGAUUUCGAAACGGACGAAGGUGGCUGUUGCUCCAGAGCCAAUCGCUGCAUAAACUAUUCAUGGAUUAAUAGUAGUUGUUAUAAUUAAUCAAUCUCUAAGUUCAAUGCAAUUGGUUUCAUUUCCUUCCAGCUCUUGGUAUAGUCUACUUAGUUUGAUCAUAGUAUUAAAUGGGAAGCUUUUAAGCAGGAUAUGGCUUUUCUGCCUUGUCCCCAAUUUCUUCUUCAUGCAGUGUUUCUGUUUCUGUUCUUGGAUAUUGUUGGGUCCACUGUUAUUAAAUAUGGCAUUCGACUUCUGAGGCAUUCAUCAGAAUGUUUUUGAAA